UAACAGCGGAGAGUUUGAUUCUGGCUCAGGAUGAACGCUAGCGGCAGGCUUAACACAUGCAAGUCGAACGGCAGCGGGGGAGGCCUUCGGGUCUCCCGCCGGCGAGUGGCGCACGGGUG
rnacentral:rRNA from 1 species